GUGACAUCACAGAGAACUUCCCAACUUUUCCUUUGACCACUGGAACCUCAGAGGUGACAGCCAAAAGAGAAAAGUAUUAACUCUGAAGAAACUUUAUGAGCCCUCAAACUUCCUGUUAGCAUCUGCCUCCUGAGACUCCAGCCUGCCUCUCUGUGUCACUCAGUUGUCUUUGACACAGUGUGAGCAGAAGUGCCCUACCACCAGAAGUAUAAAGAGCUCACCUUAUAGUUAAGUCUGUUUUUGCAUAGCCAUCAUACUGAGUACUUCUUUGCAGAGCAUGC